rfam:Beauveria bassiana D1-5 contig00987, whole genome shotgun sequence.
GGACCCAUGGCGCAACGGUAGCGCGUCAGAUUCCAGUCCCCUGGAGAUUCCUGAAGGUUAGGCGUUCGAAUCGCCUUGGGUUCA